rnacentral:rRNA from 1 species
UACGGGGGGGGCAAGCGUUGUUCGGAAUUACUGGGCGUAAAGGGCUCGUAGGUGGCCAACUAAGUCAGACGUGAAAUCCCUCGGCUUAACCGGGGAACUGCGUCUGAUACUGGAUGGCUUGAGUUCGGGAGAGGGAUGCGGAAUUCCAGGUGUAGCGGUGAAAUGCGUAGAUAUCUGGAGGAACACCGAUGGCGAAGGCAAUCCCCUGGGCCUGCACUGACGCUCAUGCACGAAAGCGUGGGGAGCAAACAGG